rnacentral:tRNA from 1 species
GUAGAUGUAGCUCAGUUGGUAGAGCACCUGACUGUUAAUCAGUCGCAGGUUCGAAUCCUGCCAUCUACG